GUGAGGAAUAUUGGUCAAUGGGCGAGAGCCUGAACCAGCCAAGUCGCGUGAAGGAAGAAGGAUCUAUGGUUCGUAAACUUCUUUUGCAGGGGAAUAAAGUGCAGGACGUGUCCUGUUUUGUAUGUACCCUGAGAAUAAGGAUUGGCUAACUCCGUGCCAGCAGCCGCGGUAAUACGGAGGAUCCGAGCGUUAUCCGGAUUUAUUGGGUUUAAAGGGUGCGUAGGUGGUUUGAUAAGUCAGCGGUGAAAGUUUGCAGCUUAACUGUAAAAAUGCCGUUGAAACUGUCGGACUUGAGUGUAAAUGAGGUAGGCGGAAUGCGUGGUGUAGCGGUGAAAUGCAUAGAUAUCACGCAGAACUCCGAUUGCGAAGGCAGCUUACUAAGCUACAACUGACACUGAAGCACGAAAGCGUGGGGAUCAAACAGGAUUAGAAACCCUGGUAGUCC
rnacentral:rRNA from 1 species